UGGUGGAGUGAUUUGUCUGGUUAAUUCCGAUAACGAACGAGACCCCGUCCUACUUACUAGACGGAGGUUUCUUUGACCUCCGAGUCUUCUUAGAGGGACAACUGGCGUUUAUCUAGCUACAUGAAAUGGGCAAUAACA
rnacentral:rRNA from 1 species